rnacentral:rRNA from 1 species
UCGAGCGGCGAACGGGUGAGUAACAAGUGAGUAACCUGCCUUAUAGUUGGGGAUAGCCCUCCUAACGGGGGAUUAAUACCGAAUAUAGUUUGAAACCGCAUGGUUUCGUAACAAAAGCCUUCGGGCGCUAUAAGAUGGACUCGCUCAAGAUUAGCUAGUUGGUGAGGUAACUGCUCACCAAGGCUACGAUCUUUAGCCGGCCUGAGAGGGUGAUCGGCCACAUUGGGACUGAGAUACGGCCCAGACUCC